rnacentral:rRNA from 1 species
ACGCUCGACACCUACGGGAGGCAGCAGUGGGGAAUAUUGCACAAUGGGGGAAACCCUGAUGCAGCGACGCCGCGUGAGCGAAGAAGUAUUUCGGUAUGUAAAGCUCUAUCAGCAGGGAAGAAGAAAGACGGUACCUGACUAAGAAGCCCCGGCUAACUACGUGCCUGCAGCCGCGGUAAUCUGAGCGGGCUGGCAAGGC